rnacentral:sRNA from 1 species
GCUGCUCUGGCUGCGCGCGGAGCGGGCUCCGGAGGGAAGUCCCGAGACAAAGGGAAGCGCCGCCGCCGCCGCCCCGCUCGGUCCUCCACCUGUCCGUUACGCUCGCCGGGGCUGCGGCCGCCCGAGGGUUUCGUGGCCGUCCCAACAAAAAAUCCCGAUGGCACGAUGAACCUCAUGAACUGGGAGUGCGCCAUUCCAGGAAAGAAAGGGACUCCGUGGGAAGGAGGCUUGUUUAAACUACGGAUGCUUUUCAAAGAUGAUUAUCCGUCUUCGCCACCAAAAUGUAAGUAAAUUCGAACCACCAUUAUUUCACCCGAAUGUGUACCCUUCGGGGACAGUGUGCCUGUCCAUCUUAGAGGAGGACAAGGACUGGAGGCCAGCCAUCACAAUCAAACAGAUCCUAUUAGGAAUACAGGAACUUCUAAAUGAACCAAAUAUCCAAGACCCAGCUCAAGCAGAGGCCUACACAAUUUACUGCCAAAACAGAGUGGAGUACGAGAA